rnacentral:rRNA from 1 species
AUGGCGCUGCAGCAAGGAUCGUCGCAUGGCUCCAAGGCCGCCGACGGAGCCGUCAUGGCGGCCAUGGAGACGGGCCGAGGAGUAGGGCGGCGGUCGACGGAGGCGGGGUGGGCGUGGUCGUGGGCGUGCUGCGCCGUGGCGGCGGGCGUGGCGGCGGUGGGGCUGGCGGGGGCCGGCGUCCUGGUGUGGUGGGCGGUGGUGUUCCACCCGGCGCGGGAGCAGCUCUGGAUGGUGCCCGUCGGCCUCGUCCUCCUCGGCACCCCGCUCGUCGCCUGGCUCUCCCUCUUCGCCUCCGGCGCGUGCCGCCGCCUCGGGACCAACCACCACCACCACCACCACCCGCCGCCGGCCGAGCGAUGA